UCCCUGCUGGCUCAGACGGUAAAGCAUCUGCCUACAGUACAGGAGACCUGGGUUCAAUCCCUGGGUUAGGAA
rnacentral:tRNA from 1 species